rnacentral:tRNA from 1 species
GCCGACGUAGCUCAACUGGCAGAGCAACGGUUUUGUAAACCGUAGGUUGCGGGUUCGAUUCCUGUCGUCGGCUCCA